rnacentral:rRNA from 1 species
CCUACGGGAGGCAGCAGUGGGGAAUAUUGCGCAAUGGGCGAAAGCCUGACGCAGCGACGCCGCGUGAGGGAUGAAGGUCUUCGGAUUGUAAACCUCUGUCAGCAGGGAAGAACGGUCACUUUGCUAAUCAGCAGUGAAUUGACGGUACCUGCAACGGAAGCACCGGCUAACUCCGUGCCAGCAGCCGCGGUAAUACGGAGGGUGCGAGCGUUAAUCGGAAUUACUGGGCGUAAAGCGCUCGUAGGCGGUAUGUCAAGUCAAGGGUGAAAUCCCCGCGCUCAACGUGGGAACUGCAUUUGAAACGGGCAAACUGGAGUGUGUGAGAGGAUGGUGGAAUUCCAGGUGUAGGAGUGAAAUGCGUAGAUAUCUGGAGGAACAUCAGUGGCGAAGGCGACUAUCUGGCACAUAACUGACGCUGAGGAGCGAAAGCGUGGGUAGCAAACAGGAUUAGAUACCCUGGUAGUC